CACCUUUAAUUGUCAAUUGUUUCCCCUUAUCUAAGAGCGGUCGGCUUGCCGACUAUGGCGAUAAAUGGCCUGUGAAAUAAGCGGAUCGGACCCGGGGGCGGUACCCGGCGGCUCCACCAGACACCGUUGGCGCAUCGCAGCGACCAGCGGGGUGCGGCGGGGCCGAAAUAGGAUCGACGAACGUGUAAAGACUGCGCUUUUGCUCGGAUGGCCUCCGUUAUUGGGCCAAAUUGAAUAGUUGCAAAUGACAACUACUCGGAAGAGUUCGCUCUGGCUGCUUAGUGCAGCUCGCGUGAAUUCGCUUUAAAGUCCUGAUCUCUUUCCAAGGUCAGGCGGGGCUCCCCCGGCGCCUGGCAACAGAAGCCGGGGACU
rnacentral:tmRNA from 1 species